ensembl:snRNA U6 U6 spliceosomal RNA
GUACAUCUCAUUGUUGCAAUGGGAGAAUUGGAUUUUUUAUAGAGAAGAUUAGCAUGGCCCCUGAGCAAGAACUGAAUGAAAAUUCAUGAAAUUUCCUGUAUUUGA